rnacentral:rRNA from 1 species
UGGUCCACGCCGUAAACGAUGAUCACUCGUUGUUGGCAAUACAUCGUCAGCGACUGAACGAAAGCAUUAAGUGAUCCACCUGGGAAGUACGAUCGCAAGGUUGAAACUCAAAGGAAUUGACGGGGGCCCGCACAAGCGGAGGAGCAUGUGGUUUAAUUCGAUGAUACGCGAGGAACCUUACCUGGGCUUAAAUGUAAGACGACCAUCCCCGAAAGGGGAUUUUCCUUCGGGACGUCCUACAAGGUGCUGCAUGGUUGUCGUCAGCUCGUGCCGUGAGGUGUCGGGUUAAGUCCCAUAACGAGCGCAACCCCUAUCCUUAGUUGCCAUCAGGUAAUGCUGGGGACUCUAAGGAAACUGCCUACGCAAGUAGUGAGGAAGGUGGGGAUGACGUCAAAUCAGCACGGCCCUUAUGUCCAGGGCUACACACGUGCUACAAUGGUCGGUACAGAGGGUCGCUACCUAGUGAUAGGAUGCUAAUCUCGAAAACCGNUCUCAGUUCGGAUCGAAGU